rnacentral:ncRNA from 1 species
AAAGAAUUUGGUUUUGGUUUAAAUUUUACUACUAUUAACAUUAAUACAUGAUAGCUUUGCGAAACUGUAAGUUAAUUUUUUUUCUAAUUAAUUUUAUAAAAAUUUUUUUAGCUGAGAAAUUUUAUAUCAAAUAAAUUUAUAACGUAAGUAUUCACAACAUCAGUAUAAAAUAUUAUAUAAGGAGGAAACUAAGAUAUAGGAAUAAUUUUUAAAGCUAGUUAAAUUUGUGCCAGCAACUGCGGUUAGACAAUGAGCUUAAGUAAAAUUAUAACGGUAAAGAAUAGAUAUAAGUACUAUUUUUAGUUAAGUUACAAUAGAUUGAAAAGUAAAAUUUGAAAAUUUAAAGGUAAGUUAAUAUUAACUGUUUUGUUAGACUCUAUGAAAAUUUAAAUUAAAACUGGGAUUAGAUACCCCAUUAUUUAAAUUUUAAAUUAUUUUACUUGGGAAUUACGAAUAUAAUUUUUAUAAAUUUAAAACCCAAAAGACUUGGCAGUACUUUAUAGCUUUCUAGGGGAACCUGUUCUAUAAUCGAUAAUCCACGUUUUACCUUACUUUAUUUAUAACAGAAAAUAAGUUUGUGUACUGCCGUCAUCAGCUUAUAUUUAAGAUUAAAAAAAUUAGCAAAAUAAUAUUUAAAUUAUUAUGUCAGGUCAAAGUGCAGCUUAUAAUAAAGAAGAAAUGGGUUACAAUUUUGAUUUAAAAUACGCAUAAUUUAAUGAAAUACUAAGCUUCAAGGAGAACUUAGAAGUAAUUUUUUUUUAGAAUAAAAAAAUGAAUAUAGCUCUAAAGUGUGUACAUAUCGCCCGUCACUCUCUUUUUAAUAAGAGAUAAGUCGUAACAUAGUAAGGGUAGCUGAAGCUGUUCUUUAAAGUAU